rnacentral:rRNA from 1 species
UACGUAGGGGGCAAGCGUUGUCCGGAUUUAUUGGGCGUAAAGAGCGUGUAGGCGGUUUGGUAGGUCCGUUGUGAAAACUCGAGGCUCAACCUCGAGACGCCGAUGGAAACCGCCUAGCUAGAGUCCGGAAGAGGAGAGUGGAAUUCCUGGUGUAGCGGUGAAAUGCGCAGAUAUCAGGAAGAACACCCGUGGCUAAGGCGGCUCUCUGGUACGGUACUGACGCUGAGACGCGAAAGCGUGGGGAGCGAACAGG